CUUUUUAUUUCUCUGUUUUCUUCUCUUUCUUCUCUUCGUCCCGUUCUUCGUCUGUGAGAGACUUUUGAUAUGAUAGUGAGAAUUGUUUGAAGAGAAUAAGUGAUGGGGUUGUACAGAUGAUAAAGAAACUGAGGUUGUUGUCGAAGAAGAAGAGGUGAGUUAGAGAAAGAAACUAGGGUUUCUGAGUAAUGUUUUUAGUUGAUGAUUUAGGUUGUAUUGAGGAUCAGGUUAAGCAAUUGGUGAUGGGUAUUAUGAGAUGAUAUCAAGGAAGAAGAUUAACAGCUGAUUUUCAGUUCUGUGAGAAGAAUUAGAAAGUUAGGGUUUCUGUAAUUGAUCGAGAAUUCGAUUAAAGGUGAAUAGGGAAAAGUUAUAAGAUGGGUUUGUUUUUAAUUGGUGUUUGAUGAAGCUGCGGGGGUGUUCUGAAGAUUGAUUAAGAAAUUGAAGAAUUUAGGGUUCUUGAGUUAACUGAAUCUUAGAAGAUGAAAUUGAGGUUUUAAAAGAAAGAUUAGAGAUGGGUAUGGAUUGAUUGAGUGAAGUUACAGUUGGAAUUAAGUUACAAUCGAUGAAGUGAUGGAUUAAUGAAUUAGGGUUUCAGUGGUGAGAAUUGGGGAUUUAUAGUAAGGUUUCUGAGAAACAGUGAAGAGGAUGAAGAUUGGAAGAUCAGUUGAGGAUGUGUGCUGAUUAUUGCAAGACAUGUGUGUUGUCUUGCUUGCAUCUGAAGUUGUUAGUGAAGACUAAAUGGCCGAGGUAAUGUUUCUUCUCUGUAAUCUUAAGUAUCACAAUUUCUAGUUGUCGAAGUUAUGAGAUGCCAUGAACUAAGAUGUGAGAUUGUUGAGAUGAGUUUAGUUGUGGUGGUGAUGAUGUUGAUGUUACAAAGAAGGUGAUUUUAGUAAGUAUCAGUUGCAGAUUCUGGUGGUGCUGAAUAAAUUCAGGGUAAGUUCAUUCAUUUGAACUCAUUUGAGAUGGAUUGUUGUAUCUGUAGUGCUAUGAAUUGUUGGUGGUUGAAGUUGACUAUGAUUAAGUCAGUGUACGGUUGUGAAGUCGAGUUUGUCUAACUGACAAUGAUGUUUGAGUUAUUGAAGUCUAAGUGUGCUAGAAUUGGAGUUGUUAUGGUUCAGAUGAAUGAGUGAUUGCAGGUAAUGGGACUGGAGUAAGAAUUUAUUAAAUAGAGGCCUGGAUUGUCUAAGGUUGUAUUUUAGAGUGAUGUGUGGGUAUGUGAAUUGAAUUGUGAAGGUGGAUUGGAAACAUAACUGGAGAUGAGUUGUUGGUGGUAUUGGCUGUGUUGUGAAUUUGCAGGUGGAGUUGUAAUAUGGAGAUUUGAAGUGUUAGAACUGAAGUUAUACUUGUAAUUUGGUUGUACCUAGAAUCACAUUUGGAUAAUCUCUUUGAAAGCCUGUUGCUACCGCGUUGCAGUCAGACUAUAUUAACAACGAUCUAUUCAAAGGAUGAACCAGUGGAUCGUGGAUCUCGAGGUAGGCGUGGCUUGUCAUCAAAAGAGCUUUUAUGCACAUGGAUAAGGCGAUACACCACAAUAUUAUUAUUUGGUGUGGAAUUCACGACAUCAAUAUUAUACAUUGUUUGAAAGAAGGAGUUGGAGUUUGUUCCAUAUACAUGUUUGUUUAUUUCAGUGA